AUUGAACGCUGGCGGCAGGCCUAACACAUGCAAGUCGAACGAGUGGCGGACGGGUGAGUAAUGUCUGGGAAACUGCCUGAUGGAGGGGGAUAACUACUGGAAACGGUAGCUAAUACCGCAUACCAUCAGAUGUGCCCAGAUGGGAUUAGCUAGUUGGUGGGGUAACGGCUCACCAAGGCGACGAUCCCUAGCUGGUCUGAGAGGAUGACCGUCCACACUGGAACGGAUGCACGGUCCAGACUCCUACGGGAGGCAGCAGUGGGGAAUAUUGCACAAUGGGGGCACGCCUGAUACAGCCAUGCCGCGUGUAGGAAGAAGGCUUUCGGGUUGUAAAGUACUUUCAGCGUGGAGGCGUUACCCGCAGAAGAAUCCCCGUCUAACUCCGUGCCAGCAGCCGCGUUAUUAC
rnacentral:rRNA from 1 species